rnacentral:rRNA from 1 species
CGAGUGAUGGCCGAUCUUAUUGGGCCUAAAGCGUCCGUAGCUGGCCGCACAAGUCUAUCGGAAAAUCCACCCGCUCAACGGGUGGGCGUCCGGUAGAAACUGUGUGGCUUGGGACCGGAAGGCGCGACGGGUACGUCCGGGGUAGGAGUGAAAUCCCGUAAUCCUGGACGGACCGCCGAUGGCGAAAGCACGUCGCGAAGACGGAUCCGACAGUGAGGGACGAAAGCUAGGGUCUCGAACCGGAUUAGAUACCCGGGUAGUCCUAGCCGUAAACAAUGCCUGCUAGGUGUGGCUCCCACUACGAGUGGGUGCUGUGCCGUAGGGAAGCCGCUAAGCAGGCCGCCUGGGAAGUACGUCCGCAAGGAUGAAACUUAAAGGAAUUGGCGGGGGAGCACUACAACCGGAGGAGCCUGCGGUUUAAUUGGACUCAACGCCGGACAUCUCACCAGCAUCGACUGUAAUAAUGACGAUCAGGUUGAUGACCUUAUCCGAGUUUCAGAGAGGAGGUGCAUGGCCGCCGUCAGCUCGUACCGUGAGGCGUCCUGUUAAGUCAGGCAACGAGCGAGACCCGCAUCCUUACUUGCCAGCAGCACUGCGAAGUGGCUGGGGACAGUAGGGAGACCGCCGUGGCCAACACGGAGGAAGGAACGGGCAACGGUAGGUCAGUAUGCCCCGAAUGUGCUGGGCAACACGCGGGCUACAAUGGUCGAGACAAAGGGUUCCUACUCCGAAAGGAGACGGUAAUCUCAGAAACUCGAUCGUAGUUCGGAUUGUGGGCUGCAACUCGCCCACAUGAAGCUGGAUUCGGUAGUAAUCGCGUGUCAUAAGCGCGCGGUGAAUACGUCCCUGCUCCUUGCACACACCGCCCGUCAAAGCACCCGAGUGAGGUCCGGAUGAGGCGCGUUCCACGCGUCAAAUCUGGGCUUCGCAAGGGGGCUUAAGUCGUAACAAGGUA